UAGCCUAAUGACGGGAAUUCCACUAGGGACUAGUUCGCAGAUAAGAAUAAGGCAUUCAGCUGUGGCUUUAGAAUAGAACGAGGAAGUGUGCAUGGGAUUCGGGCAAGUCAAAGUGCUUUAAUCCCAUUUUACGGGGUUUUCAUAAACUUCUAUUCAAAGAAUGUCUCGUAGGCUACAUAAGAAAUAGCGAGAAGGGCUACCCAGUCAAAGCUCUUCCUUAGGCUUAGGAACUGCUUGCUUGGUUUUUGUUUUAUUA
rnacentral:misc_RNA from 1 species